GAGAGAAAGGGUCAGGUGGAGAAGAAAAAGACAAAAGGAAAAGGGAAAACCGUUUUGGGAGUUGUUGGUUGUUCUUCUGUCGCUUUCUCUUUCUCUUUCUCUU
rnacentral:ribozyme from 13 species